CCUACCACCACUAAUACCACCAUAGAACAAAAAUUCUUCAAAUGGCUUCAUCAUAAUCGUAGCACCAACCUUACGUAUAAACCCCUUUUUCCUCCGAGUCUUUAUGGUGCUUCCUAGGAUUCUCGAGUAUUCCGUCCUUAUUUUUCUAACCAAGUGUGUGCUUUGCGUGUGUAUGUGCGAAGUAAUAUGUGCGAGUAUGUGUGUGUCUACCCUACCGACAAGGAUAAAAAGCGUCGAAUUCGCGUCUUUCUCGAAGAACUGUCAAAAUAUGGGUAGAAACGUAAAAGAGGGUUGAACAUGCUAAGAGAAAAAGAGAAAGCACCCGUUCUAAACCACUGCGUGCACAGCUCCUUAACUGAGAAGAA
rnacentral:lncRNA from 1 species